rnacentral:rRNA from 1 species
UACGUAGGGUGCAAGCGUUGUCCGGAAUUAUUGGGCGUAAAGAGCUCGUAGGCGGUUUGUCGCGUCUGCUGUGAAAACUCGGGGCUUAACUCCGGGCCUGCAGUGGGUACGGGCAGACUAGAGUGCGGUAGGGGAGACUGGAAUUCCUGGUGUAGCGGUGAAAUGCGCAGAUAUCAGGAGGAACACCGGUGGCGAAGGCGGGUCUCUGGGCCUGUACUGACGCUGAGGAGCGAAAGCGUGGGGAGCGAACAGG